AAACUUCUCCACCAUCCCCCAGUACUUCAAGGAGAAUGGCUAUGUGACCAUGUCGGUGGGAAAAGUCUUUCACCCUGGGAUAUCUUCUAACCAUACUGAUGAUUCUCCAUAUAGCUGGUCUUUUCCACCUUAUCAUCCUUCCUCUGAGAAGUAUGAAAACACUAAGAUGGAGCUUCACUCUUGUCACCCAGGCUGGAGUGCAAUGGCGCAAUCUCAGCUCACUGCAGCCUCCACCUCCCAGGUUCAAGUGAUGAUUCUCCUGCCUCAGCCUGCUGAGUAGCUGGGAUUACAGACAUGUCGAGGGCCGGAUGGAGAACUCCAUGCCAACCUGCUUUGCCCUGUGGAUGUGCUGGAUGUUCCCGAGGGCACCUUGCCUGACAAACAGAGCACUGAGCAAGCCAUACAGUUGUUGGAAAAGAUGAAAACGUCAGCCAGUCCUUUCUUCCUGGCCGUUGGGUAUCAUAAGCCACACAUCCCCUUCAGAUACCCCAAGGAAUUUCAGAAGUUAUAUCCCUUGGAGAACAUCACCCUGGCCCCCGAUCCUGAGGUCCCUGAUGGCCUACCCCCUGUGGCCUACAACCCCUGGAUGGACAUCAGGCAACGGGAAGACGUCCAAGCCUUAAACAUCAGUGUGCCGUAUGGCCCAAUUCCUGUGGACUUUCAGCAGAAAAUCCGCCAGAGCUACUUUGCCUCCGUGUCAUAUUUGGAUACACAGGUCGGCCGCCUCUUGAGCACUUUGGACGAUCUUCAGCUGGCCAACAGCACCAUCAUUGCAUUUACCUCGGAUCAUGGUUUCCUCAUGAGGACAAAUACCUGAUUUUGAAUAAAGCAGCAUUCAGUUGAAAUAACCCUUUCUGUGGUAAUUCCAAGUGAAUAUUUUUCUUCUAGGUGAUGAGUUUCUGCUUCCUCUGGUUUUUACAACAGGAAAUGAAAUGGUAUCUAAAA
rnacentral:sRNA from 1 species